AUUGAACGCUGGCGGCAGGCCUAACACAUGCAAGUCGAGCGGAUGAAGGGAGCUUGCUCCUGGAUUCAGCGGCGGACGGGUGAGUAAUGCCUAGGAAUCUGCCUGGUAGUGGGGGAUAACGUCCGGAAACGGGCGCUAAUACCGCAUACGUCCUGAUGGAGAAAGUGGGGGAUCUUCGGACCUCACGCUAUCAGAUGAGCCUAGUUCGGAUUAGCUAGUUGGUGGGGUAAAGGCCUACCAAGGCGACGAUCCGUAACUGGUCUGAGAGGAUGAUCAGUCACACUGGAACUGAGACACGGUCCAGACUCCUACGGGAGGCAGCAGUGGGGAAUAUUGGACAAUGGGCGAAAGCCUGAUCCAGCCAUGCCGCGUGUGUGAAGAAGGUCUUCGGAUUGUAAAGCACUUUAAGUUGGGAGGAAGGGAAGUAAGUUAAUACAUUGCUGUUUUGACGUUACCAACAGAAUAAGCACCGGCUAACUUCGUG
rnacentral:rRNA from 1 species